AUUCCCUCUGAGUUAGUAUCUAACUGGGAGUAUGUACCUGCUACCAUUUUGCCGCAUACUCUAUCAAUUUCUAUCAAGCGAAUUCACCUUUUCACUUGAUACACUUAUCCUGUCUCAAUGUCGCCGGUCAUGGUUGGGUGACGUUUAAUUUUUGAUGUGAUAUCAUUAAGUACUUUAUUCAUUUUCGCUCAUACCGCUCUCCUUCCGUUUGUUCUGGUGCCUGCCUU